rnacentral:rRNA from 1 species
UACGUAGGGUGCAAGCGUUGUCCGGAAUUAUUGGGCGUAAAGAGCUCGUAGGCGGUUUGUCGCGUCUGCUGUGAAAACGCGAGGCUCAACCUCGCGCCUGCAGUGGGUACGGGCAGACUAGAGUGCGGUAGGGGAGAUUGGAAUUCCUGGUGUAGCGGUGGAAUGCGCAGAUAUCAGGAGGAACACCGAUGGCGAAGGCAGAUCUCUGGGCCGUAACUGACGCUGAGGAGCGAAAGCGUGGGGAGAGAACAGG